AGAGUUUGAUUAUGGCUCAGGACGAACGCUGGCGGCGCGCCUAACACAUGCAAGUCGAACGGAGCUUACGUUUUGAAGUUUUCGGAUGGAUGAAUGUAAGCUUAGUGGCGGACGGGUGAGUAACACGUGAGCAACCUGCCUUUCAGAGGGGGAUAACAGCCGGAAACGGCUGCUAAUACCGCAUGAUGUUGCGGGGGCACAUGCCCCUGCAACCAAAGGAGCAAUCCGCUGAAAGAUGGGCUCGCGUCCGAUUAGCCAGUUGGCGGGGUAACGGCCCACCAAAGCGACGAUCGGUAGCCGGACUGAGAGGUUGAACGGCCACAUUGGGACUGAGACACGGCCCAG
rnacentral:rRNA from 1 species